AGGCAGUGUAGUUAGCUGAUUGUAACCACUGCUCCGCAAUCACUACACUCACUGCCAUC
rnacentral:pre_miRNA from 1 species